UACGGAGGGUGCGAGCGUUAAUCGGAAUUACUGGGCGUAAAGCGUGCGCAGGCGGUCUGCUAAGAGAGGUGUGAAAUCCCCGGGCUUAACCUGGGAACUGCGCUUCUAACUGGCAGGCUAGAGUGUGGCAGAGGGGGGUGGAAUUCCACGUGUAGCAGUGAAAUGCGUAGAGAUGUGGAGGAACACCGAUGGCGAAGGCAGCCCCCUGGGCUAACACUGACGCUCAUGCACGAAAGCGUGGGGAGCAAACAGG
rnacentral:rRNA from 1 species